rnacentral:rRNA from 1 species
UACGUAGGUCCCGAGCGUUGUCCGGAUUUAUUGGGCGUAAAGCGAGCGCAGGUGGUUUAUUAAGUCUGGUGUAAAAGGCAGUGGCUCAACCAUUGUAUGCAUUGGAAACUGGUAGACUUGAGUGCAGGAGAGGAGAAUGGAAUUCCAUGUGUAGCGGUGAAAUGCGUAGAUAUAUGGAGGAACACCGGUGGCGAAAGCGGCUCUCUGGCCUGUAACUGACACUGAGGCUCGAAAGCGUGGGUAGCAAACAGG